GACGAACGCUGGCGGCGUGCCUAACACAUGCAAGUCGAACGGAGGUGAUUCUUCGGAAUUAACUUAGUGGCGAACGGGUGAGUAACGCGUGAGAAACCUGCCUUUCAGUGGGGGACAACAGUUGGAAACGACUGCUAAUACCGCAUAAUGUUAUUUGGGGGCAUCCCUGGAUAACAAAAGCGUUGUGGGCUGAAGGAUGGUCUCGCGUCUGAUUAGCUAGAUGGCGGGGUAACGGCCCACCAUGGCGACGAUCAGUAGCCGGUCUGAGAGGAUGAACGGCCACAUUGGGACUGAGAUACGGCCCAGACUCCUACGGGAGGCAGCAGUGGGGAAUAUUGGGCAAUGGGGGAAACCCUGACCCAGCAACGCCGCGUGAAGAAAGAAGGCCUUCGGGUUGUAAACUUCUUUUACCAGGGACGAAGAACGUGACGGUACCUGGAGAAAAAGCAACGGCUAACUACGUGCCAGCCGCCGCUGUAAAAC
rnacentral:rRNA from 1 species